rnacentral:rRNA from 1 species
CCUACGGGGGGCAGCAGUGGGGAAUAUUGGACAAUGGGCGAAAGCCUGAUCCAGCCAUGCCGCGUGUGUGCAGAAGGCCUUCGGGUUGUAAAGCACUUUCAGUGGGGAAGAAAGCCUUGGGGCUAAUACCCUCGAGGAAGGACAUCACCCACAGAAGAAGCACCGGCUAACUCCGUGCCAGCAGCCGCGGUAAUACGGAGGGUGCGAGCGUUAAUCGGAAUUACUGGGCGUAAAGCGCGCGUAGGCGGUCUGAUAAGCCGGUUGUGAAAGCCCCGGGCUCAACCUGGGAACGGCAUCCGGAACUGUCAGGCUAGAGUGCAGGAGAGGAAGGUAGAAUUCCCGGUGUAGCGGUGAAAUGCGUAGAGAUCGGGAGGAAUACCAGUGGCGAAGGCGGCCUUCUGGACUGACACUGACGCUGAGGUGCGAAAGCGUGGGUAGCAAACAGGAUUAGAUACCCGUGUAGUC